rnacentral:rRNA from 1 species
GAUGAACGCUGGCGGCGUGCCUAAUACAUGCAAGUCGAGCGAAUGGAUUAAGAGCUUGCUCUUAUGAAGUUAGCGGCGGACGGGUGAGUAACACGUGGGUAACCUGCCCAUAAGACUGGGAUAACUCCGGGAAACCGGGGCUAAUACCGGAUAACAUUUUGAACCGCAUGGUUCGAAAUUGAAAGGCGGCUUCGGCUGUCACUUAUGGAUGGACCCGCGUCGCAUUAGCUAGUUGGUGAGGUAACGGCUCACCCAGGCAACGAUGCGUAGCCGACCUGGGAGGGUGAUCGGCCACACUGGGACUGAGACACGGCCCAGACUCCUACGGGAGGCAGCAGUAGGGAAUCUUCCGCAAUAGACGAAAGUCUGACGGAGCAACGCCGCGCGAGUGAUGAAGGCUUUCGGGUCGUAAAACUCUGUUGUUAGGGAAGAACAAGUGCUAGUUGAAUAAGCUGACACCUUGACGGUACCUAACCAGAAAGCCACGGCUAACUACGUGCCAGCCGCCGCAGUAA